rnacentral:lncRNA from 1 species
CUAGGGGUUUUCUUCUCUCUAGCAUGGCUACUCGAGGCGCCUUGGAUUUUUCUGCUUUUGAGACCGCUCUCGAUGCGUUCUCCAACUAUCACCAGGUUGGAGAAGCCUGAUGAUACACUACCCAUCAUUUUUUCAAAGUAUGGGCCUUAAAGGGUAUCCAUGAACAUGUCAACCAGUUCUUUCUCUAUGAGUGGUGGUUUCACUC